rnacentral:rRNA from 1 species
UACGUAGGGGGCAAGCGUUAUCCUGAUUUACUGGGUGUAAAGGGCACGUAGGCGGGAUAGCAAGUCAGGUGUGAAAUCUAUGGGCUUAACCCAUAAACUGCACUUGAAACUGUUAUUCUUGAGUGUCGGAGAGGUAGACGGAAUUCCUAGUGUAGCGGUGAAAUGCGUAGAUAUUAGGAGGAACACCAGUGGCGAAGGCGGUCUACUGGACGAUAACUGACGCUGAGGCGCGAAAGCGUGGGGAGCAAAC